UCAUGAUACUGCCAAGCUUGCUGGUCUUCUUGAGAUUUUCAUCAAGAAAUAUGUUCAGUGCUAUGGGUGUGGAAACCCUGAAACUGAAAUCCUUAUCACUAAAACUCAGAUGAUCCAACUGAAGUGUGCUGCAUGUGGUUUUAUUUCUGAUGUAGACAUGAGAGACAAACUGACAACCUUUAUUCUUAAAAACCCACCUGAGUCUAAGAAGGGAGCCAAAGACAAGAAAGCAAUGAGAAGAGCUGAAAAGGAGCGUCUAAAGGAAGGUGAAGCUGCUGAUGAAGAGCUGAAGAAGCUGAAGACAAAGAAAAAGGUUUCUUCCAAGGAAGCCAGUGCAAAACCUACCUUGAAAAAGAAAGCCAGUGGCUCUGACGAGGAUCAUGCAUCCCCACCCAAAAGGCAUGUGAAUGUCAAGGAAGAGGAGGAAGAAGAAGAUGAUGAUGUUCAAUGGCAAACUGAUACAUCAAUGGCAGCUGCGCAACAGCGCAUACAGGAACAGUUGAGUGCUGUGACAGCUGAAAUGGUUAUGCUCUCCACAAAUGAGACAGAGAAGAAGCCCAAGGCAGCUACUACUCAAGCUCGCCAAAGUUCCAAGGUUGUUUCUGCACCCUCUGAGGAUGAUCCUAAAGCUGAGAAUGGAGCGCAAACAUUUGAGACUCUUGUUGAGGAGGUGAAGGUACAUCUAAAGAAGGGAGUUACAGCCAGCCAAUUUCGAUCUUUCUUGGGUUCACUCCCAGGAUCCCCUCAGGACAUAGUUACUGCUGUCUACGAGGCACUCUUGGAUGGUGUGGAGAAAGCAUUCACCAAGGAGCUUAUUAAGAAGAAAGGUUAUCUUCUUGCUGCUGUUGGUCAAGAGGAUGGGUCACAGCUACGUUUGCUCAGAGCACUGGAAGAAUUCUGUGGGAAAUCUAACCCGGCAGCUGUGAAGGAAGUAGCACUUGUUUUGAAAGCUUUGUAUGAUGCUGAUGUGUUGGAGGAGGAAUUUAUAGUGCAGUGGUAUGAAGAGGGUGUUGCUGGGGUUAAAAAGGACUCUAAAAUUUGGAAGAAUGUCAAACCUUUCAUUGACUGGCUGCAGAGUGCUGAGUCCGAGUCCGAGGAGGACUGAGAUCACAACUGUCGUUCCUUAUUUAGAUUGUUCGGAAUUCAUGUUUUCCUUUAUUUUUGGGUCUGUACUUUUAUAUUUCUUGCUAUUUCUGUCGUGUGUUGUGUGUCUGUCUUCUUUUUGAUGUUUUAAGGCGAAUAAAAAUUCUUUGGGAAGUCUUGAGCUAUUUAUUCUUGUUGUGGGUGAAUUAUUUUGGAGUUUAAAUGCAUAUUCAGUCUGAAUAAACAGUAGGCAUCAAAGAAAUUUAUUCAGACUGAAUAUGCAUUUAAACAAAAUAUUAUUGUGGUGAAAGUGCUGACGCUAUUGACUAUUGUGGUGAAAGUUGUUAUUGAUCUGAAUAUAGUAACUUUCUUGAAUUAUUUGGAGUUUAAAUGCCUAUUCAGUCUGUGAAUAAAUAAGCAUUUAAACUCCAAAUAAUUCAGAUCAAUAGCAACUUUCUUGAAUAAACAAAAUAUUAUUGUGGUGAAAGUGCUGACGUUAUUGUAAUGCUAGCUCAUUUUCUUCAUCUGAUGAGACAAUCUGUGGGUGAUGAGUAUCCCCAAAACAAACAUAAAGGGAAGAGAUCGAAAAUAACACUAUUAAAUCGUGGUUUCAAAAUGCAACCGUAGAUAGGCAUCAAAUAAAUUUUGAAAUCGCGAUUAUUAUAAUCUUUGACGUACUUUGUUCAAAAUGUCAUCAUUAUUAUUUGAGAAUAAUAUAAUUUUUAUAUUUCAAAUAUUUUUUUUCGAAUAUUCCCAUUACAAAUAAUUAGAUUCCCCGCUCCAUCUGGAUAUUAUAUUACAACUAUUUGGGGGUUCAAUAAUUUUUUGUGUGAUGGUUAAGCAUGUUCAUAACAAUAAACUACCUUCAUUUAAUACUAUUUUUAAUUAUAUGCCAAUUCUAAUAUGCAGGUUAAAAUUAAAUUAUUAAACUUUUACUUAGUAGCAAACUGACUUCCAAGCUAAUUUUGGGAAUCUAUAUAUAAUAAUAAUGUUGAAUGAGAAAACAGUGACGUGACACUCUCUAUGAGAUUCAAUCUUACUUAUCUUUUUUUGUUUUUUUUUGCCAUUUUUCUAAUUUUAAAAUACAAAAAAAUCAUCUAAAUAUUAAGGAUAGUGAUAUUUGAAUCUUUCUUCAUCAAUAGUCAUAUUUAAUUUAUUUUAUCAUGGAUGCUAUUAUUCUCUUAUCCUAUAAUAUUGCUUAAUUUCUGCUUUUACUACUUUCUUCCCCAAACCUCACCAUUAAUGAUAUUUAUAUUAUUUCCUUAAAUCACUUUUUUUCUCUUUCUUUAUUCUUUUUUUAAAAUAAAAUAAAAUAAUUCAAUUCAAGAUAUAAUAUAUAAAAGGUAUUUUUUAAAAUAUUUUUGUACGAUUUUCCCUUAAAUCUCAUUAUUAAUGAUGUUUUAACAUUUCCUUAAUAAAUCACUACUUUAGUAUUUUUCCUUUCUUUGUUCUUUUUUACUUAUUUAUUCAAUUCAAGAAAUUUAUAUAUCUAUAUAAUAUAAGGUAGUUUUGUUAUCUUCUUUAUUUGUAUUUUUCCUUUUCUAUAUAUAUAUAUAUAUAUAUAUUAUUUAUUUAUUUUUUUAUUUUUAAACUCUCUAUUUUUACCAACCGUCCGAUCAAAUGAUCGGACGGCCCAUAUAUAUAUAUAUAUUAUUUAUUUAUUUUGUGAUUUUUUUUACUUUCUUUUCUAAUUUUAAAAGACUUAGUUUCAUUUAAAAUAUUUACAAAACAUUAAACAUAGUCAAUUAAUAAUAUAGCCGAAUUUGCUGAAACGCCUCUAUUAUGUACCUAUAAAGAUACAUUGAUUUGAAGAAACGAAAUAAUAAAGCUUAUUAACUUUAGAAAUUAGUAACUGUAAUCAUAAGUUGAAGUUUAUGGGCACAUUAAUUUUUAAAAUAUUAUUUUUUCUCUUCAACUUCAUAUCAAUUACCAAUAAUACCUAUAAAUUAUCAUAUUGAAAACUUUUGUUUCUUCAUCUUGUCUCUUCUUCGAAUCUAAAUUUUACAAAUCAAAAUCUUGAUAAUCAUUUAUGUUGUCGAUUUGAUAAUGGUAGAUUUUGAGUUUUUGCGUUCGUCAUCCGAGUAUCUUCACAAGUUUACUAAUCAACAAAAAAAAAUAUCACUUGUUGAAUUUUGUUACAUGCAAGGCAUCAACUUUUUAAAAAGUCUUCAUGUUCAUUAAUGUGCCUAUAAAGACACAUUAAUUUGAAGAAACGAAAUAAUAAAACUUAUUAACUUUAGAAAUUAGUAACGGUAAUCAUAAGUUAAAGUUUAUGGGCACAUUAAUUUUUUAAAUAUUAUUUUGUCUCUUCAACUUCAUAUCAGUUACCAAUAAUACCUAUAAAUUAUCAUAUUGAAAACUUUUGUUUCUUCAUCUUUUCUCUUCUUCGUAUUUAAAUUUUACUAACCAAAUAUCUUGAUAAUCAUUUAUGUUGUCGAUUUGAUAAUGGGUAGAUUUUGAGUUCUUGCGUUCGUUAUCUGAGUAUCUUCACGAGUUCACUAAUCAACAAAAAAAUAUAUCACUUGCUGGAUUUUGUUACAUGCAAGGAAUCAACUUUUUAAAAAGUCUUCAUGUUCAUUAUUGUUUAUUCUGCCUUUUUUAUUCUCCUUGGUUUUUAUUAUUUUUUUGCCAUUAUUUUAUGUAAGCAGAUUUUUCUAUGAAUAUGGUUAUUAAGAUGUGCUAUCAAAAAACAUUGAAUAUGGAUGUUCUUGUUGUAUUGAAAUUGAUUAAUUCUAUUAUUUUCAUUCUUUUUGCAUAUGAAUGAUUGGUUUUAGUGUUUAAAAGUUGUUUGGUUAAAUUCAAACUCCCGUGUUUUAUGUUUGGGUCAAGAUUUAUUCCUCAAUAAAAGAGUAUGAACUGAAUGAAAAUAAUUUAAGCAAGGAUAAACUUAUUUUAUUACUAUUAUAAUAGGAUAAUUUACUAUACUGAAAUUCUCGAAUUUUAUUUUUAACAAACAGUCUUAGAUGAAUUCAAUAUUUUACUUAAUCAAUAUGUUUUAUUUCCUCCGGCUAUUAUAUAUAUUUAAGUGGAAGUUUGUCUUGUAUUUAUUUCGUACGAGUUCGCCAAUAAAUUUAGUCCAAAAUAAUGCAAAAAGGUUAGUACAUAUUUUCCUUCUAAUAAUGUUUUGUUAGUAAGUUAAAAUCAUAUAAUAAGGUGUAGUUGAACUUUCUUUCACAAGACAAUGAGAUAAAACCCAAAAUAUCUAAGUACGAACAGGGUACAACUUACUAAAAACAAUGUUUUGUUUUAAUAGAGCAAAUAUCUCAAUAAAUCGAAAUAAUGUAGAUAAUUGGUCAAUUAACCGCUUAAACUUAAAACGGUAUGUAUAUGUACAAUAUGUAUAUAAUUGUGUAUGCUUUAUAUAUAUAAUUAGAAAAAAUAAAUAAUAAAUUUGAUUGAUUAUUUGUGAAACAUCCCGAUGAAAUUAGAGGUAUUAUAUUUAAAAUUUUAAUUUUUACUUUAUUUUCAAAUAGUUAAAAAUAAAAAAUUACCUUAUAUGUGCUAAUAAGACAAACUUAACACUCUUAUAUUGAUUUAUUAUCUCUACAUGAUGGACAAGGCUCAUGGAUUAAGAAUGGAGACGGUGUUAUGGCCUCCAAGCUCGAUAGGUCAUUAGUAUUUGUAGAUCUUUAAUUUUUGAUGAUAAAUAUAGUGUACAUCAUAAAUAAAUAUAUUUGAUAAUCGCGCGUAGCUCGGCUGAGUUACCUAAUUAGAUAUUAAUCAUUAUAUUUUUGAAAUUCACCAUUUUCCUUUAAAGGAGGAAAUAAAUUAAUAACUUUAUGUACUUUUACCGUAAAAAGUUUGAAAUAUCAAUAUCUAAAUUUACUCUGAAGUUUAAAUUUAUUUACCCUUAAAAAGUAUAGUUGAAUUUGUUAGUGUGAUCUAAACUCAAGUAAAUUAAACCUAACAAUCUAUAUAUACUAAAAAAUAAAAAUAAAAUUGCAAUAACUGAUGACAAACAAUUAUUAGAUCAAUAAUAAAUAUAACAAGGUAAUUUUGAGUAUGAAUUUUGUGUCGUCUUAAAAGAGAACUCAGAACCCUAGAGCAAUAUAAAUCAAAAGUUUUGAAUACAAAGAAUUUUUGUUAUUGUAAUGGUACAAUAGUGAGUAUUACGAUGAAUCCAAAGAAUAAUAAUAAGAUUAUUUAUAUCUAAACCCUUAGAGUUCUAUUUUCAUAAAUCUCACCCCAUAUGAUCUCUCGAUGGUGCAUUUAUCUUCAUCUUAUAAUGUCGAUGAAAAUCUCACAUGACGACGAGCUUGUUUAAGGAUUCAUGUGAUGCGACAACUUCUUCGUACUUGGAAUCGGGUCUCCAGAAUUAGACGAGCUUAACACUCUAAUAUCGAUCUCAGAUAUUUUCGUACCGAUAUCAGACUUGACGAAAGAACCAUAAAACAAUAUAAAACAAAAGCCUUUUGUUGUUAUAAAUUAUAAAACAGUGACUAUGCAAUGAGUUCAGAAAAUAAUAAUAGGAUUUUUUAAUAUCUAAACCCUAGAAUUUUAUUUCCGUAAAUCUCACCAGUAUGAUCCCUCGAUCGUGCAUUUGUCUCCAUCUUAUAAUGGUCAGUGAAAAUUUUGAGAUCUCACAUAAGACAGACUUGUUUAAAACAAUUUCUUAUACUCGAUUGAGCUAGAUAGACUCCACACCCUAAUAUCGGUCUCAGAUAUUUUCGUACCAAUACCGAACCCUUAUGCUUGCUCAAGUCCGACCUAUUUUAUUCCAUUAAACAAAACUAUUUGUAAAUUUUUUGACGGAAAAAACGUGAAACUGUCAAGCAGAUUUUCAUAUGACACGUGGCCGAAUCAUAUGUCAUCACACAGACAUCAAAACGGCCAAGAUGAAAACACGUGGAUUUAUUUCAGAGGUUUAGAUGAAAAUUAGAAACAAAAAUCAGGAAAUAGAAUUUGAAAUUUCUUAAGAGGGUCGGAGAAGUAUCUGGAUUGGUUUUACUCUUCUCUUCAAUUCCUUCAAACCCUAUAUAUUAAGAAAUCUAUACGCCGCCUCAUCUAUUCACCUUUAUAUAUUUUAUAUAUUAACCCUAAAUCUUCCUUUACCAGUUCCUCCAUUUUCUUCAAUCAAUCGGUAAGAUUUCUAUUUACUACUAUUUGUUCUCUACUUUUGAUCAUUCUCAACUGUUGAUUCAAUGCCGCUUUCGUGUUUUUAAUUUAUGAUUUAUCAAUGUGUUUAUACUUGUCUUGUUUUCUUUUCUCCGUGUAUAAUGUCAAUGGCUGACUAAUUAGAACCAAAUUUAUAUGUAUAACCAUAAUCGAUGGUUCUGUUCUGUGUUUCUCUGAUUUAUAUGAGCUGGUUAUGAGUAUCUAGAAAUAGAAAUUGGUAGGUGUUUUAAUAUUAAUUUGUGAAAUUUUAGAUGGUUGAAUGAUGUUUACCCUAAUUUACUAAGCUAAGCUAAUGCGAUUAGUAGGUUAUAUUAACAAUGGCUGUUUCGUUUAAGAGUAGGCCAUUAGUGAGUAGGAUAUCUCUAAUGGUUUUUUUUUUUGCUAGCAAGUGUUACUUUACCUUGCAAUUCAGAAAUACAGAUAUGCGAUUUAUGAGGGGUCUGUUGCUUGAGUUCUAUAAUUUUACAACUAUAUGUCUUUUAAAACGAGUGUUCCUGUAGUUUACAAUUCAGAAACUCAUUGCCGAAGUAAUGUUAUGCUUUAGCGCAUAAAUAUGCCCAAGUAAUGACAACAGUACCUAUAGCAUUCUAUUUAUUUAUAUACAUAAUUUUUCCAGGAGACAUAUCUUUUUGAUUAAAUUUACAACUACUUGCUUCAGCUAUACAACUGAAACAAUUUUCCCUUUUUUCUAUUUUUACAUUGCUUAUAUUUGGUAACAUGUUUAAAAAAGAAAUUCAUUUACAACUUACUCAUUUUUUAUUGAGAAGGUAACAUGAGCUUACUUUGUAUCUUUUGAUGUGGUUUUUCUUUCUGAAGGUUGUGGGCAUUUUAUCUACGUGGGUUUCAAGUUGUAGUUUCUCAAGUUGAAACUUCUUUUAUGUCCAAACAAGCCACACUCUAUUUGGGAUCCGUUGGAUUGCUUGGAGAAUAUUGUCCAACGUCAAGAAAAAGGUGUCAUCAUAUUUCUGAUAGGGUUGACUGUAUGCAUCUUGACUUAUUUCAGGAAGGACACUUAGAGCUUAGUGGUUGCACCCAGACACAACUUUCUCUCAACAAAUUUUGGGCCAAAGGAUCACCUGGAAACCCCUAACACUUUAUUUAGGAAUUUUCACUGAAUCAAAAAUGGCUUUGCAGAAUAUUGGAGCCGGCAACAGUGAUGAUGCCUUCUACAGGUAUAAGAUGCCCAGGAUGAUUACCAAGAUAGAGGGGCGUGGGAAUGGCAUCAAGACAAACGUGGUCAACAUGGUUGACAUUGCCAAAGCUCUAGCAAGGCCAGCAUCUUAUACCACAAAACAUUUUGGGUGUGAGCUUGGAGCUCAGUCGAAGUUUGAUGAAAAAACUGGGACUUCCCUUGUCAAUGGUUCUCAUGAUACUGCCAAGCUUGCUGGUCUUCUUGAGAUUUUCAUCAAGAAAUAUGUUCAGUGCUAUGGGUGUGGAAACCCUGAAACUGAAAUCCUUAUCACUAAAACUCAGAUGAUCCAACUGAAGUGUGCUGCAUGUGGUUUUAUUUCUGAUGUAGACAUGAGAGACAAAUUGACAACCUUUAUUCUUAAAAACCCACCUGAGUCUAAGAAGGGAGCCAAAGACAAGAAAGCAAUGAGAAGAGCUGAAAAGGAGCGUCUAAAGGAAGGUGAAGCUGCUGAUGAAGAGCUGAAGAAGCUGAAGACAAAGAAAAAGGUUUCUUCCAAGGAGGCCAGUGCAAAACCUACCUUGAAAAAGAAAGCCAGUGGCUCUGACGAGGAUCAUGCAUCCCCACCCAAAAGGCAUGUGAAUGUCAGGGAAGAGGAGGAAGAAGAAGAUGAUGAUGUUCAAUGGCAAACUGAUACAUCAAUGGAAGCUGCUCAACAGCGCAUACAGGAA
rnacentral:lncRNA from 1 species